rnacentral:lncRNA from 10 species
AGUUGAGAUUGGAAUCAUGAAGUGUUAUUACAAGUCACUAAGUUCAUGUGUAUAGAUUUUCUUUUGGGUGCCAAGUAUAGGACUAGAUGUUGAUAAUGUAAAUAUAAAUAAGAUGUGGCUCCUGACCUCAUGUGUUCACGACCAAAUAGGAAAGUUCUGAGAAAUACAAAAGCAAAGGGUGGUUCUGUGGGUUGUCGUCAGUACCACAGGCAGAGCUGUGUCCCAUCAGGAACCUCACUUUUGUUUGCAGCUCCCUCUGUAUUUGCAGAGCAGUUCUUUACAGUUUGUUUCAAGUACAAGGAUUUUGUCAUAUGCUCUUUUUUUUAGCAGGUCUUUGUCAAUUAAUAUUUUUUUACAUAAAAAAUUCAUGUUUACACUGAGAAAUAAGAAACCUCAUAGAUGAGAAAAUAAAUAAAACUCAUUUAUUAGUCCACCACCUAGAGAAAGCUCUGGUUAACAUUUUUCUUUUUUGGUAUGGAACCAUGCAGAAAUUUUAUAUAUAUAUACACCUGUGAAAUGUUUAUGUGUUUAUAUAAAAGUGGUUCAUCUAUAUAUGUUUCUUUUUUACCUGGUUUUUCACUCAAAAAUAUGUUGUUAUUUUAUUUCCAUGUCAAUAAAUAUACAUCCCGAAG